rnacentral:lncRNA from 1 species
UUGAGGUGAUAAACAAAGGGAAAUGUAAUACACGUCAAACAAGUUAGGAGAUGCGAAAGUGCACGUUUGUUUGAGUUUUUUAUAAUUCUAAGUGUUCGGACGGAGCCCCUAAUCAAUAGGGGUUAGGCGUUCCACCACCCUGACGAGGGUUCGGAGGCAGCACCCUUGGAAGCAGGGUCAAAGGGACUGCAACCCUGAUGGGGUCCAAGGGGAAAAGUUAAAAAAAAAAUUGGCUCCCACAAGGAAGAAAUUUGAAAAUUAAAAGAAGAUAACUGCCUUAGGGCAAUUACUGGAGCCAUCCCCAAAUUCAUAAUCACCCUCUUUGGUCAAAACAUCUAGUUCUUACGAAUUCAUCAUCAUAUUACAUACUACUUGUUCUUAUUUCUGAGUUGUAUCUGAUUGGAUUUUCAAGUGAACCAUCAAAAUAAUUUGAUCUGAAAAUGACUACACGCCUGUAAGAUCAUCCGUUGCAAUCUCAAUUUUCCCAACACCCAUUUCAUUCAUUGGAUUUGAAUUGAACCAGACGAAAUACUCUUAAAUACAUAUAAAAAAUUAGAUAUUAUCAAUCUUUUGUAGUUUUCGGUUUUUUGUUGUCUUUUUUUGGUUCUUAAAAAGCAUUUACGCGAUCUCAUGGUUAUUACCAUUAACUUUGUCGAGGAGUUAAGAGACUACGUUUUCGAUCGUGAAAUGUGACAUUCUUGGUUUGGAAGCUUUAGAAGUUUCGUUUUCGCCAUAUAUUGAUGUUUAAUCUUGUUCCAACUCUGUCCAACAUGGUUGUUUUAUCUUCAAUAAGCCGUCAUUGGGGACCAAACCCCAUAACCAUAGGUUCAUCAAUCAUCGUCAUGAUUAGUUAA